GGCAGGGCUAGCCAUUUUAAAUUUAUUCGUUCCUUCACUCAGAUAAUUUUUGUUUGGUUCCAUUUGUUUGUAGGUUCUUGUGGAGGUUGGUCGAGCUCCAAGACAGGGUCAGAGUUGGUCAAGAGAACCAAUGAUCUUGUGAAAAAUAAAUCCAUCUGACCUCUAUUAUAUGUGGCUACAGGGUGACCUCUAUUAUUUGUCGCUACAGGGUUAUUGUCAUAGUGGGAGAAACUGGUUAUGGUUAAAUGGUGCAAAUACCUCAGUAUCUUCCUGGAGCUAGAUAUACAGCAAGAGGAAAGUGCAGUCUACAUCCUCUGGUACAUAGUGAGAUGGCUAUGCUCUGCUCCUUGGCGGCAUUCGGCGGGAGUAGCACUGGCCGCCGCAGCACAACAACUUCGAGAAGAGGUGAGCCGCCUCUGAUCUACCUUGAGUAUAG